GCACUGCAGUUGGACCCUUCGGGACUGGACAUUGAAAUUGACCUGGCUACGUACCAGAAUGGAAUUGCACGCUGGAUCAAGAACGUGCAGAAUCAGAGACAUCUUGAGAUGAGUGCCAUCAUGGAGGAUAGAAUGCUCUCUUCUCCUGGAGGUGACGUUGCUCCUCACUGGAAAGCCAAGAGUCUGGAUUUGGAUACCUCUCGCAGCUUUAGAGCAAUGUCCACCCCGCUCAGUAGUACAACUAGAUCUCAUUGGAAAACAAGAAAGUCAGACAC